AACGAACGCUGGCGGCAGGCUUAACACAUGCAAGUCGAGCGAGACCUUCGGGUCUAGCGGCGGACGGGUGAGUAACGCGUGGGAACGUGCCCUUCUCUACGGAAUAGCCCCGGGAAACUGGGAGUAAUACCGUAUACGCCCUUUGGGGGAAAGAUUUAUCGGAGAAGGAUCGGCCCGCGUUGGAUUAGGUAGUUGGUGGGGUAAUGGCCCACCAAGCCGACGAUCCAUAGCUGGUUUGAGAGGAUGAUCAGCCACACUGGGACUGAGACACGGCCCAGACUCCUACGGGAGGCAGCAGUGGGGAAUCUUAGACAAUGGGGGCAACCCUGAUCUAGCCAUGCCGCGUGAGUGAUGAAGGCCUUAGGGUUGUAAAGCUCUUUCAGCUGGGAAGAUAAUGACGGUGCCAGCAGAAGAAGCCCCGGCUAACUCCGUG
rnacentral:rRNA from 1 species